rnacentral:tRNA from 1 species
AAAAGAUAGCAUAAGCUUGGUAGUGCGUAAGGUUUUGAUCCUUAAUGGUACAGGUUCAGAUCCUGUUUUUUUA